CGCGUAGGUGGUUUGUUAAGUUGGAUGUGAAAUCCCCGGGCUCAACCUGGGAACUGCAUUCAAAACUGACUGACUAGAGUAUGGUAGAGGGUGGUGGAAUUUCCUGUGUAGCGGUGAAAUGCGUAGAUAUAGGAAGGAACACCAGUGGCGAAGGCGACCACCUGGCCUGUUCUUGACGCUGAGGCGCGAAAGCUAGGGGAGCAAACG
rnacentral:rRNA from 1 species